UGCUGUUACCUACUGUUCUUAGCUCAGGGGUCCGGUGUUGAGAUAAGGGCCACGCUUCAUGUAGUCACAGUCACCUUCAGACCGAGGGGCCAGUACUCUUAUGAACAGAACUGACUGGAGGUAGUCUGUUAGUCUUCAGAGUACUGGGGAAUGAAGGCUUCAUGAGCAGUCCAGACUGUGGUCCUACACCUGGUCGGGGCAGUCUGGCAUAAUGCUGAGACACAGAGAAAAUGCCUGAUGAAGGCAUUGGGAUUAGGUUAGCAGGAGAUAUGUUAAUUUACAGUUUCUGACCAAUAGCCUGGAAAAACAGGUUUUUGGGCAAACGGCUUUCUUCCACUGAUCUUUCUUGACUGGACUGUCUCACUCUUAGCUCCUCAGUACUUGUCCUUCAGUCCUUAUAUUCUCUUCUGUGUGUGGAAAGAAUCCUGUUAUGGUAUGGAUAUAGUCAUAAUCCAGGGCAUAGGAAUCAACUUUAGCCUUGUGGUACUGUUCUCUGCACCCUGUAAAUGUGUCUCCUUGAGUUCAGUAAUCAUAAAUGGUGGUUGGGUAGGGCAAUGUCUCUGACAUGGAAGAAAGGGAUUGUUUGCUCUUGCUAUUGAUUUGCAGUAAAUCUCAUUCUCAUCUUGCUGCAAAUGUAAUAUUAACAUGAAAAAGGGUCUCUUCUAUAUAUGAGACUAUCUUUAUGUACAGUUAGGCUGAGGAAGGGAAAAUCAUUGAGGCAGUUCAAUAUUUGGCUUUCAUUUCAAGAGAUGGAAGCACUGAUAUGUGCCAUUUGUAACUUCUGAACAAGUCAGAAGAAAUGGAACAGGAUGUGUCAUACAGAGGUUCCUGAUUGUUCCGGCAGGUUCACUGUGGUAAUCAGAGCUUGCACUUGCUCCCAGAGAUGAAGGUUCUUCUCAAAAUGCUGAUUUAACCUUUCACUUCUGCAUCAGAUUGCAAUCCUAUGUUGGAAGAUAGCUGGAGAGCAGAGGCUGUUCAACUCAAACGAGGACACUGUUUCCAGCUACUCCCUGGAGGUGGUCCUCCUGAACCCAGCUUGGUGGGUGACUCCUUCCCCUUCUGUCUGGGCUACAAAUAUUGGUUUGCACUAGUUGGCUCAGAGAUGGUUAUUAGUACAGCCCAGGCCUGGAAAUGUUAUUGAGUGCUAACCCUAACGAGAUCUGCUGCUGACAGGUCAGCUUGGGGAGCAGAACUUCUUUGUACAGCAGCAAAAUGUAUGUCACCAUUUGUUUCUGUUGCACUGCAGCUGUUGAAUUGCUGUUUUAUAGCAUGUAUUUUCUUUAAAAACAAACAAGAAAAACCUCCAAACACAAAAGACAUCCAGCCAGAACAGCAAGGUAAUUAUGAACCAUGUCGGUAUGAGUAUUGGCUUAAAUCCAUUACAUACACCAAACCCUGCCUAUAGUAAAGGAACAUAGGACAAUUACUGAUUUCAGAAAUUCCUGUUCACACAGGACAUGCGAAAGAUUACAAGAGGUGAACUCAAAAGAGAGAAGUAUCACAGGGAUGGGACCUAAAAUUGCAGACUUUGUAUAUGGAUAGUGGGGCUUUAUCACAGACUGGUGACAGCCAAGGGGCGGAUUCACCGUGGUUUGACAUCUAGUUUCAAUGAGAUGCUUCAGGAUAUUAAAAACGGGGCACCUAAAUAUCAUUAUAUAUCUGUACCAAGAUCCUGCUGCUGGUGGUCUGGCUGGGAUCGAGGCCACCGUUGUGGUUUGCCUUGCAGCAAGCACUCAGCAAUUUUCUUGUAGUGCGUGUGUGUGAAUAAACCACUCCAGAGGGGGCUGAAUACA
ensembl:lncRNA